CCCGCACUCGCUCGUCCUCCACCCCUCCCGUGGCCACCAGCCCACCACAUGCCGCCGCCAUCUCCUACAUCCACCGGCUGCCACCUUCGCCUGCUCCUCCCUCCCCCACAUCUCCCUCCCUCCCACGCAGCCGCCUCCCUCCCUCGCUCGCUCCUCAUCUGUAGACAGCGGCGGCGGCUCCCGUGCCCACGUUCUUCCUCCCACCAACCACCAACUCCUCCCCAUCGCCAUGGACGAGCUUGAGCUCCAGGUGCUCCUUCUCUACCUAGAAGCCCAAGGGUGUUCAAGGCGACAAGGGGAUCAACCUCAACCUGCCAACCCUAGCUGCCCCCAUGCCACCGCCGGCUCCUUCUCCCGGCCUGCCGGAUCCCGCCGUCCGCAUCCCCGGCGUUGUCGCCGUAGCCGUCAUCCUCGUGUGCACUCGACAGGAGAAGUGCGGCUCUCCUCUUAGCCCGUCUCGGUUCUCUAUUGCUCUCACAGUCCCCUUUCCAAACCCUAACCCUCCUCUUCUUCAUUAACUGCCGGCGAUUGGCAAGGGGAGCACAAGUCGAGGUGCGCCGCCUUCGAUUCUGCAGUGUGCCUGAUGGCUGCUUCUGCAGUAGCAGCGGCGGCAAGCCUUGGAAUGGCUCGGGACACCAGAAGCGGGCAACGAAGGCCAUUGCCAGGUUGGUAUUGUUCCAGACAUCGAAGAUUGUUGAUGUGUGAAGGCCGAGGGAAAAAUGUUAGUAACUACAAAGAGGGUACCAGCAUAAUCAAAUAAGAAUAGUUCACCAGGUGUAAAGGAAGUGGAGUGUGAACCCAGUGUUUCUUUUGACUACUCCAAGUCUGAAAUGAAUUCUAUGGAGAGGAAAAUGUUGAACCGGGUGCUUGAAGUAAAGGAGGAGCAUCCUAAGAAGCAGGUGUAAAUUUUGCCCUUAUGUCCUAUGAAAAGCUUACCAUUUCACGUCUUCAGUCAGGUUUGAGAAAAAGAUCAGAGUUUCAUCUGUUGUGAAAGUGGAAGUUGCAGCUCCAGAAAAUUGGGAAGCAGUUCUUGGAGGUAUUAAAAACAUUAGGUUAUCUGGCCAAGCCCCCGUAGAUACAAAGGGCCGUGAGAAGGCUGGUUCUCUUCUUCCACCCAAGGUAUUCGUCAAUUGUCAGAGAGUUGUUCAGAUUCAAAAGUGUAGUUUACGAAGUCCAUGGACUAUGAAAAAUACAUGAGGAUGUGAUCAUCUUUACGGAGAGUGUGGGUUUUAUGUAAUUUGAAAAUUCCCUUAAUUUUCUUGUGCUAUGCUACCAUUUGAAAUGUUUACUAGCUAGAAAGAAAAUGCAGCCUGUACAUGGGUUCAUGGCUAAUGGAUUGCAGAUUGGCCAUGGAUUUGGGCCUACUAAUCCACUAAUUUUUGACUGAUCUCA